GAUGAACGCUGGCGGCGUGCCUAAUACAUGCAAGUCGAGCGAACAGAUGAGGAGCUUGCUCCUCUGACGUUAGCGGCGGACGGGUGAGUAACACGUGGAUAACCUACCUAUAAGACUGGGAUAACUUCGGGAAACCGGAGCUAAUACCGGAUAAUAUAUUGAACCGCAUGGUUCAUUAGUAAAAGACGGUUUUGCUGUACCUUUUGAUUGGUUCCGCCGCGCAUUAGUUAGUUGGUAAGGUAACGGGUUACCAAGGCAACGAUGCGUAGCCGACCGUGGAGGGUGGACGGCCACACUGGAACUGGAGCACGGGCCCGGCCCCUAAGGGAAGGCAGAGGUGGGAAACUUUCGGAAAUGGGGGAAGGCUUGACGGAGCACGGCGGGGGGGGGAAUGAGGGCUUCGGGUCCGUAAAACCUUGUAAUAGGGAAAGAACAAAUUGUAAAGUACUAUUGCCGGUUUGACGGUUACCAAAUAAGAAAGCACCGCUUACUACGUG
rnacentral:rRNA from 1 species